GAAGAAACAAUGGAGGGAAUUUGAUAGAGCAAAAAUGUUGGUGGGUCCUGGAGAGAGGGGCCCUGCCCCCUGUUUCCUAUUCUCAAGAACAGCUCCAGAGAGGCAGCAAGGGAACGACUGUGAGAAAUAUUUGCACAGAUGAGUCCACAUAGUCUCCUCCAAUUUCCUGUCCUUCCAGCACAGAAGCAGCAGAAAGACUUCUGCGCAAUGCUGAAGCUGCAGAAAGAUUCGAGAUCUUCAGCUUUUAACUCUGACGAGGCUCUGCCAAUACCUGGAUCCAGAUAAGUGUGAGUACUACAUUGGAACACAAGGCCUGACUACAGACUAGAAGUGGCUCCAGAAGCACUUCAUCUUCUGUGGCUAAGAAACAGGAUCUGUUCUGAGAAAAACCAACAUCUGUAACCACACGUUAAGAGUGCAUAAAUUCACACACACAUACAUCACAACAACAACAACAACAACAACUUUCUUUGAAAGAGGGGCGAGUGAUGUAGUUAUAAUCUCUCACUAUUGGAGAGUUUCUGAAACAUGUUCACAUCUCCUACCUCAUUUGAUCCUCCCCCAAAUGCAGUUUGGAAUAAGGCAUGCAGCCACUACAAGUCCUGUUUCACAGAUGAAGUGGGUGAGGUUUAGAAAAGCCAAGGGCCUAGCUCAAGGUCACAAGUUACUGGGUGGCGGAGCAGGGACGUGAGCCCAGGUGUCCGAGUCCUGUGCCAUUGGGGACCCACUUGACUAAUGCAGGGUAUUAGAGUUAAGUGGGUAAGGGGUCUUGAAACAUUUGCCCAUUUUUCAGGCAUUUGACCUAAACCACAGAAAAGGGAAAAACUAGUGACCUAAGGUCACAUAAAGAGUCACACAAGCAGAAAAUUGAAGAAAGAAUGAAGUCUAACUCCAGUCCAUGUUUACAACAAAUCCUCCUCCUAUCAAGAGCCAGUACCUUUAAAAAGGAAUCUCUUCUUCUCAAAAGAACCAGAGACAUUUCCAAAUGUUUUCCCCUUGAUUAAAAUCCUAGGUAUAAAAAGCAGGAAAUGUUUAUGCUCAAAAAACAAGGCUCCUCUGUAUUGAGCAAAUGGGAAUCCUUUGAUUCAAUCUGAAAUUUCUUUUCUAGGUAUGGUUACGUGGUUUUUUAAAAGAAAUAAAAAUGGAGAACGUUCAAUGCUUUAAAUACCACCUUUCUCUCUCUCAGUUUGCUUGCU
rnacentral:lncRNA from 1 species